rnacentral:tRNA from 1 species
GCCGAUAGAGCUCAGCUGGGAGAGCGUUAAACUACAGAUCGUAAGUCCCUGGUUCCAUCCCGGGUUUCGGAA